AACGUACGCUGGCGGCACGCCUAACACAUGCAAGUCGAACGAAGUAGCAAUACUUAGUGGCAGACGGGUGAGUAACAUGUAGGUAUCUACCCUUUGGCCUGGAAUAACACGAGGAAACUUGUGCUAAUACCGGAUAAGUCUAUACGGAGAAAGCUUUAUGCACCAUUGGAUGAGCCUGCACUUGAUUAGUUUGUUGGUGGGGUAAUGGCCUACCAAGACUGUGAUCAAUAGCUGAUUUGAGAGGAUGAUCAGCCACAUUGGGACUGAGACACGGCCCAAACUCCUACGGGAGGCAGCAGUGGGGAAUCUUGCACAAUGGAGGAAACUCUGAUGCAGCGAUGCCGCGUGAGUGAAGAAGGCCCUUGGGUUGUAAAGCUCUUUCGUCGGGGAAGAAAAUGACUGUACCCGAAUAAGAAGGUCCGGCUAACUUCGUGCCAGCAAGC
rnacentral:rRNA from 1 species